rnacentral:rRNA from 1 species
CCUACGGGGGGCAGCAGUGGGGAAUUUUGGACAAUGGGCGCAAGCCUGAUCCAGCUAUUCCGCGUGUGGGAUGACGGCCUUCGGGUUGUAAACCACUUUUGUAGAGAACGAAAAGUCUGUUGAUAAUACCGAUAGAUGAUGACGGUACUCUAAGAAUAAGCACCGGCUAACUACGUGCCAGCAGCCGCGGUAAUACGUAGGGUGCGAGCGUUAAUCGGAAUUACUGGGCGUAAAGGGUGUGCAGGCGGUUUUGCAAGAUGAAUGUGAAAGCCCCGGGCUUAACCUGGGAAAGCCAUACAUGACUGGAAGACUAGAGUGCGUCAGAGGGGGGUGGAAUUCCAAGUGUAGCAGUGAAAUGCGUAGAUAUUUGGAAGAACACCGAUGGCGAAGGCAGCCACCUGGGACGCAACUGACGCUCAUACACGAAAGCGUGGGGAGCAAACAGGAUUAGAUACCCUAGUAGUC